AAGACCUUGCGUUUUUGGAGCGGCCGAUGUCUGAUUAGCUAGUUGGUGGGGUAAUGGCCUACCAAGGCUUCGACCAGUAGCUGGUCUGAGAGGACGGCCAGCCACACUGGGACUGAGACACGGCCCAGACUCCUACGGGAGGCAGCAGUGGGGAAUUUUGGACAAUGGGCGCAAGCCUGAUCCAGCCAUGCCGCGUGAGUGAAGAAGGCCUUCGGGUUGUAAAGCUCUUUCAGCCGAGAAGAAAAGAUUGCGACUAAUAAUCGCGAUUCAUGACGGUACCGGCAGAAGAAGCACCGGCUAACUACGUGCCAGCAGCCGCGGUAAUACGUAGGGUGCGAGCGUUAAUCGGAAUUACUGGGCGUAAAGGGUGCGCAGGCGGUUUUGUAAGUCAGAUGUGAAAUCCCCGGGCUUAACCUGGGAACU
rnacentral:rRNA from 1 species